GUAAAAUGCUGCGUAGCAUAUCGUUUAUUUGGAAAGAAGGUGAGAUGAGAGGGAUGAGUUGGUCGCUUACCAUAUACUCCAUGUUGGCUGCAGUGAUAUUGGUUCCGGCGAGCGUUUCGGUCGCGUUUCUGAUAAUCCAAGCGCUCGCAUCACUGGCUAUGAAUAGAAGCAGCACGUCGGUAAAAAAGUUGAUGCUCUUCAUCCCUUUUUUGGUUCAUAUACGUUUUCUGCAUCACCAUCGUACCGUUGAAUUGUUCGUAUCUGUUUUGAGCGUGCGGUGAAGCAGCAGCUCCGUGAGUCUCAGUUAUCCUGAUGGAGAUCUCUCAUCCUGUCCACUGCUG